rnacentral:lncRNA from 1 species
AAACAAACAAGUUCCUGUUUUAGUGAACUUUGAAUUUGGACUCAGGAGAGGAAGAUGGUUGUCAAGAAUACUGAACUUAAAAGAUGAUGAAUAACGGUCAGUAAAUGAGGAGAAGAAUCUGUGAUCUGGUGGUUUAGGUUUCAGUGAAAACAGUCAGAGUGAAAGUGAAAGUAUGUGAGCUGAAAAACAGACUCCAUUUUGAGAAAAGAAGAGAGAGGAGAGGACGAGGAGACAGGGUGAGUGUUUACUCUGUUUUAGUUUUAAUGUCAAACUCUUUAUCUGUUUUAUCUGUUAAUGAAAAAAUGAUUUACUGACUAAAACACUUAAAAACUGUAAAACAAAGAAACCUGAGCAGACAAAGAGCUGGAUCAGUUCUUCAUACAGGAAACUGUGUAACUGCAGUUCUUCCUCCUCUUUGUUUAGACUUGUCUUUUUGGUAAAAAUAUGAAUCAGAAUCUUUUUAGCGUCUCAUUUCAAAUUUAAUCCAGUCUCCUUAAGUUUUUUUCUGAGAGUUCAGGGACCUCACAGCUGAUUUUGUUUUGACCAUGAAUCAGACAAGGAUCAGAGAGAGGCCCUGCAGGGUGGGGAGACAUCAGAAGUUCUUGGAUAUUAAACCUGUAUAACUCUUAAAGAGGGGGAUGAAGCUGUUUUUAGACUCUGUACUUCCUUUCUGAUUCCUCUUUUAUUUCUGAACUCUCUCUUCCUGUUUGUGUCUCACCUGUUUGUCUUCUUUGUCCUCAGGUUGUAUAACUCGGUUUCAGCCUCCAUAAAUUUGCACAACAGAAGAUGGAGAAGAUGAGUGUUGGUGUCGAGGAAGAGGAGGGCAGAGCAGAGUCUGAUAUGUUUGACUGUCUGUCUAUGAAGAGUGACCGGUCUAAAGGUUUUGAUAUAAACUUCAGUAAAGAACCAGGACCCCCAGAGCAGGACAGAACAAAGUCUGUUAUCUCCAGCUGUCUGUCUAUGAAGAGUGACCGGUCUAAAGAUCCUCCACCAAAAUUCAGUGAAGAACCAGGACCCUCAGAUUCACAGUAAGAGAAACACUUUUCAAUCACCAAACUCUCAAACAACCUCUGACGUUUCAAAUACAAAACUUUAAAUCCUGACCCCUCUGUUUUCUCCUCUGUUCUCAAAACACUGAUUUUCCUCUUGAACCUGCCAACCUGGAUAAAAUUCAAUUCAAUCCAACUUUAUUUAUAAAGCCCAUUUCAUGCAAAAGGCAGACUCAAUGUUCUUCACAACAGGUGUACAUAGUUAAAAACAGUUAUACAAAAAUCUAUUAGAAAUCAAUUUAAGAGUGUAAGUGCAAGUCAACCAACUUCACCGCGAAUGCUACAGAAAUCUGUUUUUAAAGAUGGCUACUGAUGUGUCUAACUGUGUCAGGCAGGGUGUUCCAUUUUUGUGGGGCAUAAACACUCAAAGCUGCCUCCCCUUAUUUGGAUCUGGUGUGAGGGAUGAGUAAGUUGCCACUGCCUGUUGACCGAAGUGUUCUUGCUGGGGUGUAGGUGAUGAGCAUAUCUGUGAUGUACUGAGGUGCAAGGCCAUGUAGUGCUUUGUAAACCAGGAGGAGUAUUUUGAAAUCGAUUCUUGUCCUAACGGGUAACCAAUGUACAGAUUUGAGAACGGGUGUGAUGUGUUGAUAUUUUUUGGUACCAGUGAGAAUUCAUGCAGCUGCAUUUUGAAUUAACUGUAACCUCUGAAGACUUGAUUUUGGGAGUCCAGUGAAUAAACUGUUACAGUAAUCCAGUUUACUUCUUAUAAAUGCAUGGAUGAAUUUUUCUAAGUCUGAUUUUGACAGAAAGCCCCUCAGUUUGGAGAUAUUUUUGAGAUGAUAGAAAGAUGAUCUUGUAAUGGAUAAAAGGCUGGUAAAGAAAAACUCACUGAGCACAGAUUUACUUAUUAUUCUUGAUGUUGAUAAAAAUGAAGGUCGUAUAAAACAGCAUUUGAAAAGGAUUCUGACUUCUUGUAUUUUCUGAUUUGGUUCCUGUGUUUGGGACGUUUUGAGCCUGUUAGUCUUUGGACUGUGGUGUAUAGACCCCAGAAAACAGUCUGUGGGUCACAAAAUACCAGAAGACCAAUGAAGAAAUAAAUCCUGAAAAAUAAAAACAUAAUUCAGAGCAUCUGUCUGUUAUUAGACCUUUAGAUCUGAUUGGUCAAAAAAAAAGUUUUAAACUGUCAGAGAAAAUCUCUCUACCUUCAAAAAUCACAGUUUAGUUUUUUCUCUUGUCACGACACUUUCAGGCAGCAGCAGCUGAAUAUUUUACAGGAGAUUGUUUUAUGUUAGAGAAAAGAGAAACUCUGGUUUAAUAAAUGUUUCUUAUUCUGUAUCUUUCAAACAUGAAAUAAUAAAGAAAAUAAAUGUUCUUUAUUUCCACAGAGAGACACAGAGAUGUGACUCUGUGGAGGAGCAGCUGUCCAAAUGUUCUUUAUGUCAGGAUGUCCUGAAGGAUCCAGUCUCUACCCGCUGUGGACACAGGUUCUGCAGACAGUGCCUCGCCUCAUUCAGGGACCAGUCUACUUCUUCAGGACACACCUCCUGUCCUCAGUGUGGAAAAAGAACCAGAACAGUUCUUGUUCUUCAGACAGACAGCCAGUCCAGCUCUGAUCGAAGUAAGUCUGAACACCUUUAAACCCUAAAUUAUACAAUUUCUGCCUGAAUUAUUUUGCUUAUUUUAGCCAUAAAAUUGGCAGAAAAUGUCCUAUGAGUGAGUGCUUUUUUAUUCAUUGGCUUUCAACCCUGCAUGAGACUCGGCUCCUGUUUUAGUGUUUUAUGUUUUUUUUUUUUUUUUUAUGUCUAUGCUUUUUUGUCUAUUUAUAUACAGCACUUUGGUUGGCUGUGGUUGUUUUAAAGUGCUUUACAAAUAAAGUUGAGUUUUACCCAUUUUUCCAGAGCACUUAAAACUUUCAAUAUCUGGCUGUCAUUUACGAUUUACUGUCUGUUAAAAGAGUGCUUUAACAUUGUAAGAUAAAGAAAAACACAAAAACGGAAUACAAUUUUUUUUGAGUUUUAAUGAGAAAAAAACAGAAAAUAUUCAUGAAAAACAGAUUGUUCAUUUGAAAUAAAAAAAUUAAAGAGUAUCAAACAUAUUUACAGCAAAAACUUUGGAGUGCUGUCUCUCCAAGUGCAAAAACAGGCUAACUAAAUACAACUGUGUCCAGGCGUUUCUCCUCUCUCACUCAGAGGUCUUUGUGAAACUGUCAGAAGCUGUUCCUUUCUGUCUGCAGACACAGACCCACAUCACACCCCUCACACUUCCAGACAGUUCUCCUUAUGACAAAGUUUGCAGCGUCGUCUCCUCAUGCUAGUUCUUUUAGACUUCAUCUGCCCAUGGCUUGUUUGGGCACGUAGCUAUACUCUACUAUAAACGGUGAGCAUUUCUGCCAAGUGGAUGUAAUUCUCGGGGGGCAUGUGUUUCUCGGCAACACAUCAACGGCUGCAAAUGAGAAACCAACAAGAGAAAACCGCCGAAGAUGAAAACUUUUUAGUAAAAAGAAAAGCAACGUCACUUACCAUUGAAGACGAAUACUCGUUGAUUAAAAGAAAAGCAACGUCACUUACCAUUGAAGAUGAAUAUUCGUUGAUUAAAAGAAAAGCCACGUCACUUAUCUGUAAUUAUUUCGGUAACAAAAAGGAUGACGUCACCUAACACCUGUUCUGUGUCGGCAGUGUCUUUCAUCUGUUUCCACAAUAACGUCCCAGCAGAACAAUAAAAACUAAAAAUAUCUCUAAGACAGACAGAAGCCAUUCUACUAACAUUCACUAAAAGAGGGAAGAUCAGUGCAGGUUAACAGAGAGCCCUUCAUUCAUCCAGAAACCCACUCAGAAAAUCAACCAGUCAAACUUUACCUUUCUCUGUCUGAAGUUUCUCUGAAAGCUUCUCCAUCGGUCCCAAAGUCGUCUGUAAACCUCAGUGGAGGUUUUCUCACUCAGGAAGGAUUUAUCACAGACAUUUUCCUCUGAAAUAAUCACUUUUUUUUUGGUAAUUUUUCUCUCUUUUUGCUCCGUUUCUCUGCUCUGUUGUUUGUCUAUCUACUGCUUUCUUUGUGAGGGGGAGAGGGGACGGAGAGACAGAUUUCCUCUCUAAACAGCAGGAGUGAAAUUACCGUAAUAACCGUUUAUUGGCCGUGUGGCGCAACUUCUCACUUUUCAGAAACCGUUGGAGAUUUUUUUUUGAUAGAACAAACUAUCCCAAAGUUACGGUAAUUUAAAGAGCGCCUGUAUAAAGGUGUCGGCGCCGACGGACUGUGAGGAAAAGUCUGUGUGGAUGAAAACUCAGCUGACUGAUUUUCACAAAGACGUUUCAGUGUUGAGAAGUUUGGUUCAUUUUAUUUUUCUUCUCUUUCAGAAGAUGGCCUCCCGCAGGAGGUUUUAGAUGAACAUAAGAUAAGUCUGAAGAGGAGAUGUGAACGUGUGAAUGAAGGAAGUGAUGUAACAGGAAGUAGUCAAACCCUCCUCAACAGGAUCUUCACUGAGCUCUACAUCACAGAGGGACUGAGUGAAGAGGUGAACACCCAACAUGAGGUGAGACAGCUGGAGACUACUUCAAAGAUGAAGACCCUCCAUGACACGCCCAUCAGGUGUCAUGAGAUCUUUAAAACCUUACCUGACCAACAGAAGAAGCUCAUCAGAGUGGUUCUGACCAACGGCGUGGCUGGUGUUGGAAAAACCUUCUCAGUGCAGAAGUUCACUCUGGACUGGGCAGAGGGUUUGGAGAACCAAGACCUCCAUCUGGUGGUCCUGCUUUCAUUCAGGGAGCUGAACCUGAUCAGAGAUGAGCGCUUCAGUCUUCUGAGUCUGCUCCAUGUUUUCCAUCCAACCCUAGAGAAGGUCACAGCAGAGACGCUGGCUGUCUGUAAACUUCUGUUCAUCUUUGACGGUCUGGAUGAAAGCAGACUGUCUCUGGAUUUCACAGACUCUGAGGUGGUGUCUGACGUCACACAGAAGUCUUCACUGAACGUUCUGAUAACAAACCUCAUCAAGGGGAACCUGCUCCCCUCAGCUCUCAUCUGGAUAACUUCUCGACCUGCAGCAGCCAAUCAGAUCCCUCCUUCACAUGUGGACAGGGUAACAGAAGUACGAGGCUUCACUGACGACCAGAAGGACGAGUACUUCAAGAAGAGGUUCAGAGAUGAAGAUCUGUCCAGAAGAAUCAUCUCACACAUCAAGUCCUCCAGGAGCCUCCACAUCAUGUGUCAGAUCCCGGUCUUCUGCUGGAUCACUGCGACAGUUCUGGAGGACAUGAUGAGCAGAGAGCAGAGAGGAGAGCUGCCCAAGACCCUGACUGACAUGUACUCACACUUCCUGCUGGUCCAGACUCAGAGGAAGAAGCAGAAGUAUGAAGGAGGACAUGAGACAAGUCCUCAGGCACUGAUGGAUGCUGACAGUGACGUCCUCCUGAAGCUGGGGAGGCUGGCCUUUGAACAUCUGAAGAAAGGAAACAUCAUGUUCUACCAAGAAGACCUGGAGCGGUGUGGUCUGGAUGUCUCAGAGGCCUCGGUCUACUCAGGAGUUUGUACAGAGAUCUUCAGAAGAGAGAGUGUGAUCUUCCAGAAAACUGUUUACUGUUUUGUUCAUCUGAGCGUUCAGGAGUUUCUGUCUGCAGUCUACAUGAUCCACAGUUUCACAAACAGGAACACAGAAGCUCUGAAGACUUUCCUAAGAAGCAACGAUGAUGAAGAUAAAAUGUCUUCUUCAGAGAUGGUUGACAGAUUUUUUCAAAACCUGGAUUAUUUUUUCUCAUCUCAGGAUGUCUUCCUGAAGAGUGUCGUGGAGAACUCCCUUCUCAGUAAAAACGGUCACCUGGACCUGUUUGUUCGCUUCCUUCAUGGACUCUCUGUGGAGUCAAACCAGAGACUCUUAGGAGGUCUGCUGGGUCACACAGACAACAGUCCAGAAAUGAUCCAAACAGUCAUCAAGAACCUGAAGGAGAUGAACAGAGAAGAUAUCUCUCCUGACAGAAGCAUCAACAUCUUCCACUGUCUGAUGGAGAUGAACGAUCUGUCGGUUCAUCAGGAGAUUCAAGAGUUCCUGAAGACAAAGAACAUAUCAGAGAAGAAACUCUCAGAGAUCCAAUGCUCUGCUCUGGCCUACAUGCUGCAGAUGUCAGAGGAGGUUCUGGAUGAGUUAGACUUACAGAAGUAUAAAACAUCAGACCAGGGACGACUGAGACUGAUCCCAGCUGUGAGGAACUGCAGAAAGGCUGAGUAAGUCCAGGUUUUAUUCUCAGAAUAGUGUAAAUGAUCCCUGUAGUUCUUCUAAUGUCCACGUUACUGAUGAUGUUCUUCUUCAAAUAGAAAUCCACUCAAAUAUCAGGGAGGGGGUUUCUUCAGCAAAAACAUGAUCCUGGUGUCUAAAGUCCUGUUAGUCCAGGAUGAGGUCUACCUGUGGACCCCUGAGAACUUGUCCUAAUUGUGGAGGACCUCUUUGUUUUGAAUCGUGUCUGUAAUGAAUAAAGUGGAACUUUGAGGACAAAUCAGCGACCAUAUCUGAGGACACACAGAGGUCUUCUGAUGAUGGUAUCAGUCCAGAUCAGGUGAACUUGAGUUUUAAGAAGGUGUCUGCAGCUUCUUCCUGCUGGUUUUCAGGUUGGAAAUGAUGAAUCAGUUGUAAAUGAGGGUGUUGACAGCAUUGAUGGUGAAAAUAGAACUGGAUCAUUUUCUACACAGUGGCAGAACUGUCUAACCUUCAAAGAAAUGUUUUUAUCUGAACCAAACAGAGAAAAAGGAGCUGCUGUGAUUUAGUGAGUCGUCUUCUGAUUGGUCAACAGUCAGUGCCUUACAUUAUAGCAGGAUGUCAACACUAAACACUGAGAGGAGCAUGAGUCAUGGAGUCAUUUGUCUUGAACGUCUGAACAGUUUUUUUUUUCUUCUAAACUUGGACUUCCUGUCUUCUCUCAUGGCUGUGGUCCUGAUAUUAGUAUCUGUCUGGUUAAAAACAGGCCGUCUGUCAAACCAAAGAUCAUGUUUGAGUUGUUUUUGGGGAAGAGAAACAUCAAAUAACCCUUUAAUAAAAUAUUGUUUGAUAUUCAUUUUGUCACAGAUUUAAUAACUGUGGACUCUCAGAGACUCACUGUGAAGUUGUGGCCUCAGCUCUGAAGUCCAACCCCUCCCAUCUGAGACAUCUGAACCUGAGAAACAACAGACUGCAGGAUUCAGGAGUGAAGCUUCUCUCUGCAGGACUGGAGAGUCCAAACUGCAGACUGGAGACUCUGAGGUGAGACACCAUUUCCUUCCGAUCUAACAAUAAGAUGUGACAGCUGCUGCCUUAGAUUUUUCUCUGUGGUUUUUCCAUCAACUUUGGUCGAGCAGUUUGAAUUUGUCGUUGUAAAACUUCAACACAGGAAGAAAAAUCCGACAUUUCAGAGUCGACUUUGAGUAGAACGAUGGAUGUAGAAAGGAAGCAGGAGAAAAUCAGUCCCACAAAUAUUAUACAUGCUUGUAGAGGGCAGGAGCAGCACAGACUAAAGGCUGAUAUUGAACUGAUCCACAGUUAAUGUGAUCACUAAUGAAUGAAUGAAGUGUCAGAGAAAUGAUGAGCUGCAGAUUGAAACCUGAAGAACAAAGUUAAUCCAACUCUGGAUAUUUCAUUUGGAAACUCUUGAAAACUUGAAUUUCUUCUUUGCUCAGUCGUGUUCAAAUGUAAAAACCAGAUCCAGAUUUUUCUGCAGUUUUCACUUCAGUUUGUUGAACAUGAACAUCAUCUUGUCCAGCUGGUCCAUAAAAACCUCUCUGAUCAAUGAUCUGUUGGUUUAUUUAAGAGUAGUUUGUCAGUUGUUGACAGCAGACGGACAGACCCCUGAAUAAACUCCUGACUGUUUUCAUCUUCAUGAAGAAUUCAGGACUACAAAAGAACCUUUGAGAUUUCUCACAGGAGUUUCUCAGGAUCUCACUAAAGUUUUCUGUUUCUGUAAAAUUUUCUCGACUGAUAAAUUCCUCUGGAUCUUCAAAAAGUUUAGAGAGGAUUUUACAAAGUUCCUGAAGAUCAACUCUGAAAAAGUUCUUCUUCCGUGUCCUUCAGGGUUCAAGAACAUUGAAUCAUUAAAAACAGGAACAGUUUCUUCAGAGGUUACAUGAUUUUUUUCUUUUUUCAGACUGUGACAGGUGUUUAUUAGUCUUUUUGACUCAUUACAAUAAUGAGGAUAAAGUCAUGGACUAAACUUGGGCUCCCAGUUUCCUUGUUGUUGUUUCUUCAGCUAGCAUCAUUGUUUUCAUCUCAGUUAUUAAAGUAAUAAUGAUGCUUCAUAAAUUCAGAGUCACAAAAAAACACCAAACAAACCAAAUCUGAAAAAAAUUCACUUUUUCAUCAAAUGAGUUUAAUCGGUCAGAACAUGAGGUUUGAGUUUUCAUGAGGAGGAAACGAGAAAGAUCUGCUCUGACAGUUAGAAACACAGACACCUGAAUUUACACUGACAGACAGAGAGACACAGACAGAGACACAGACAGACACAGACAGAGACACACAAACACAGACUAACAGAGAUGUUCCUCUUCGUCUCUUUGCUGUGAUGACUGAAGUCACAAAAACAAAGUUUUCUUCGUCACUUUUAUGAUUGAACCAAAGAAGUUAAAGAACCAAACUCUCAGAUUUUGUUCUUCUCAAUUUUAUUUGAACCAUUUAGAUUUUUCUCCUGAUCAAUAUUCAAUGAUCAGAUUGAUCAGGUUCCUGUUUUGGCUCCACUGCCUCUUUUCUGCAGCUCAAUAACUGCUCAUAUGGUUUGAAAGGUUCCUGCAGUAAAACCCGAUUAGAGAGUGGACUAAAUGAAAUGUGAGUGAACUCAGCCAUCAGUGAAUCAAUGACAAAGUGAGAGGAAGAGUGGAUCUGUCUGCUGUCUGACCUUGUUGAUCCUGAUGAAGGUGAGGGAGAAGAGUAAAGCAGUAAAGGUGAUGUUGUUGCAGACAGAGUCAGCUGACCUGUCUCAUCAGAGUCUCAUCCAUUCUCUGUUUGGCAGAGCACUGAUGUUAGAGUCUGAGAGCACAUUCAGGUUCAGCUUCACAUGGGCUGGAUCUGCUCAAUACAAACUCUUGAGACCAGCCUGGUUGAGGGAGGUGGGCUCAGUGUCCUGGGUGACUCUCUCUGAGCUCUUCUUGGUUGAGAGUAUUUCUGGUUUGUCUCUGACUUCCAUGAACUCAGAUCUGGAGGAUUGCUGGCUGGUCCGGUCCAGUUCUGACAGUAGAGACAACACAGUCUGUUAUUCUGGGUUGAGUGUUCUUGUUGAAGAUCAGUGUACAGUGAGGGAUGAAGGCAGACAAAGAUCCUCCUGUUUCCUCCAUGUCACAGUUCAAGUUCAUUUUGAAGACUUUGAUUGAUCCGAGCGCUGAAGAGGAACAGGAAACGAGGAGUAGAGAGUGAGGGAGGACUUACAGCAAAGGAUCAUGGGAGUCCAACCAGCAACUGCUGCAACAAGGACUCCACCUUCUGAUCACAUGAACCUCUAAUCCAAACCAGUGCUCCAUCACAUUUGAUGUCUUGUCUGUUAUUUUACAUGGAGGGUCAGAGCAGACCAGAUCAUGAGCUCUGACAGACUGGAUCUGGUCCAAAGGUCUCCUGUUGGAGUUCUCUAAGCUCCAUAUUUUAAACCUGAACACCUGAAGUUUGAUUAUUAAUUAUUUUUAUCUUCAUUCUCUUUCCUUUUUUCAGAUUGUAUAAAUGCAGUUUGUCAGAGAUCAGCUGUUCUUCUCUGGCCUCAGCUCUGAAGUCCAACCCCUCCCAUCUGAGAUAUCUGGACCUGAGUCACAACAAGCUGCAGGAUUCAGGAGUGAAGCUUCUCUCUGCAGGACUGGAGAGUCCAAACUGUAAACUGGAGACUCUGAGGUGAGACACCAUUUCCUUCUGAUCUAACAAUAAGAUGUGACAGCUGCUGCCUUAGAUUUUUCUCUGUGGUUUUUCCAUCAACUUUGGUCGAGCAGUUUGAAUUUGUCGUUGUAAAACUUCAACACAGGAAGAAAAAUCCGACAUUUCAGAGUCGACUUUGAGUAGAACGAUGGAUGUAGAAAGGAAGCAGGAGAAAAUCAGUCCCACAAAUAUUACACAUGCUUGUAGAGGGCAGGAGCAGCACAGACUAAAGGCUGAUACUGAACUGAUCCACAGUUAAUGUGAUCACUAAUGAAUGAAGUGUCAGAGAAAUGAUGAGCUGCAGAUUGAAACCUGAAGAACAAAGUUAAUCCAACUCUGGAUAUUUCAUUUGGAAACUCUUGAAAACUUGAAUUUCUUCUUUGCUCAGUCGUGUUCAAAUGUAAAAACCAGAUCCAGAUUUGUCUGCAGUUUUCACUUCAGUUUGUUGAACAUGAACAUCAUCUUGUCCAGCUGGUCCAUAAAAACCUCUCUGAUCAAUGAUCUGUUGGUUUAUUUAAGAGUAGUUUGGCAGUUGUUGACAGCAGACGGACAGACCCCUGAAUAAACUCCUGACUAUUUUCAUCUUCAUGAAGAAUUCAGGACUACAAAAGAACCUUUGAGAUUUCUCACAGGAGUUUCUCAGGAUCUCACUAAAGUUUUCUGUUUCUGUAAAAUUUUCUCGACUGAUAAAUUCCUCUGGAUCUUCAAAAAGUUUAGAGAGGAUUUUACAAAGUUCCUGAAGAUCAACUCUGAAAAAGUUCUUCUUCCGUGUCCUUCAGGGUUCAAGAACAUUGAAUCAUUAAAAACAGGAACAGUUUCUUCAGAGGUUACAUGAUUUUUUUCUUUUUUCAGACUGUGACAGGUGUUUAUUAGUCUUUUUGACUCAUUACAAUAAUGAGGAUAAAGUCAUGGACUAAACUUGGGCUCCCAGUUUCCUUGUUGUUGUUUCUUCAGCUAGCAUCAUUGUUUUCAUCUCAGUUAUUAAAGUAAUAAUGAUGCUUCAUAAAUUCAGAGUCACAAAAAAACACCAAACAAACCAAAUCUGAAAAAAAUUCACUUCUUCAUCAAAUGAGUUUAAUCGGUCAGAACAUGAGGUUUGAGUUUUCAUGAGGAGGAAACGAGAAAGAUCUGCUCUGACAGUGAGAAACACAGACGCCUGAAUCUACACUGACAGACAGACAAACACAGACAGAGAGACAGACACACAAACACAGACACACAGAGAUUUUCCUCUUUGUCUCUUUGCUGUGAUGACUGAAGUCACAAAAACAAAGUUUUCUUCGUCACUUUUAUGAUUGAACCAAAGAAGUUAAAGAACCAAACUCUCAGAUUUUGUUCUUCUCAAUUUUAUUUGAACCAUUUAGAUUUUUCUCCUGAUCAAUAUUCAAUGAUCAGAUUGAUCAGGUUCCUGUUUUGGCUCCACUGCCUCUUUUCUGCAGCUCAAUAACUGCUCAUAUGGUUUGAAAGGUUCCUGCAGUAAAACCCGAUUAGAGAGUGGACUAAAUGAAAUGUGAGUGAACUCAGCCAUCAGUGAAUCAAUGACAAAGUGAGAGGAAGAGUGGAUCUGUCUGCUGUCUGACCUUGUUGAUCCUGAUGAAGGUGAGGGAGAAGAGUAAAGCAGUAAAGGUGAUGUUGUUGCAGACAGAGUCAGCUGACCUGUCUCAUCAGAGUCUCAUCCAUUCUCUGUUUAGCAGAGCGCUGAUGUUACAGUCUGAGAGCACAUUCAGGUUCAGCUUCACAUGGGCUGGAUCUGCUCAAUACAAACUCUUGAGACCAGCCUGGUUGAGGGAGGUGGGCUCAGUGUCCUGGGUGACUCUCUCUGAGCUCUUCUUGGUUGAGAGUCUUUCUGGUUUGUCUCUGACUUCCAUGAACUCAGAUCUGGAGGAUUGCUGGCUGGUCCGGUCCAGUUCUGACAGUAGAGACAACACAGUCAGUUAUUCUGGGUUGAGUGUUCUUGUUGAAGAUCAGUGUACAGUGAGGGAUGAAGGCAGACAAAGAUCCUCCUGUUUCCUCCAUGUCACAGUUCAAGUUCAUUUUGAAGACUUUGAUUGAUCCGAGCGCUGAAGAGGAACAGGAAACGAGGAGUAGAGAGUGAGGGAGGACUUACAGCAAAGGAUCAUGGGAGUCCAACCAGAAACUGCUGCAACAAGGACUCCACCUUCUGAUCACCUGAACCUCUAAUCCAAACCAGUGCUCCAUCACAUUUGAUGUCUUGUCUGUUAUUUUACAUGGAGGGUCAGAGCAGACCAGAUCAUGAGCUCUGACAGACUGGAUCUGGUCCAAAGGUCUCCUGUUGGAGUUCUCGAAGCUCCAUAUUUUAAUCCUGAACACCUGAAGUUUGAUUAUUAAUUAUUUUUAUCUUCAUUCUCUUUCCUUUUUUCAGAUUGUAUAAAUGCAGUUUGUCAGAGAUCAGCUGUUCUUCUCUGGCCUCAGCUCUGAAGUCCAACCCCUCCCAUCUGAGACAUCUGAACCUGAGAAACAACACUCUGCAGGAUUCAGGAGUGAAGCUUCUCUCUGCAGGACUGCAGAGACCAAACUGCAGACUGGAGACUCUGAAGUGAGACACCAUUUCCUUCUGAUCUAACAAUAAGAUGUGACAGCUGCUGCCUUAGAUUUUUCUCUGUGGUUUUUCCAUCAACUUUGGUCGAGCAGUUUGAAUUUGUCGUUGUAAAACUUCAACACAGGAAGAAAAAUCCGACAUUUCAGAGUUGACUUUGAGGAGAACGAUGGAUGUAGAAAGGAAGCAGGAGAAAAUCAGUCCCACAAAUAUUACACAUGCUUGUAGAGGGCAGGAGCAGCACAGACUAAAGGCUGAUAUUGAACUGAUCCACAGUUAAUGUGAUCACUAAUGAAUGAAGUGUCAGAGAAAUGAUGAGCUGCAGAUUGAAACCUGAAGAACAAAGUUAAUCCAACUCUGGAUAUUUCAUUUGGAAACUCUUGAAAACUUGAAUUUCUUCUUUGCUCAGUCGUGUUCAAAUGUAAAAACCAGAUCCAGAUUUGUCUGCAGUUUUCACUUCAGUUUGUUGAACAUUAACAUCAUCUUGUCCAGUUGGUCCAUAAAAACCUCUCUGAUCAAUGAUCUGUUGGUUUAUUUAAGAGUAGUUUGGCAGUUGUUGACAGCAGACGGACAGACCCCUGAAUAAACUCCUGACUGUUUUCAUCUUCAUGAAGAAUUCAGGACUACAAAAGAACCUUUGAGAUUUCUCACAGGAGUUUCUCAGGAUCUCACUAAAGUUUUCUGUUUCUUUAAAAUUUUCUCGACUGAUAAAUUCCUCUGGAUCUUCAAAAAGUUUAGAGAGGAUUUUACAAAGUUCCUGAAGAUCAACUCUGAAAAAGUUCUUCUUCCGUGUCCUUCAGGGUUCAAGAACAUUGAAUCAUUAAAAACAGGAACAGUUUCUUCAGAGGUUACAUGAUUUUUUUCUUUUUUCAGACUGUGACAGGUGUUUAUUAGUCUUUUUGACUCAUUACAAUAAUGAGGAUAAAGUCAUGGACUAAACUUGGGCUCCCAGUUUCCUUGUUGUUGUUUCUUCAGCUAGCAUCAUUGUUUUCAUCUCAGUUAUUAAAGUAAUAAUGAUGCUUCAUAAAUUCAGAGUCACAAAAAAACACCAAACAAACCAAAUCUGAAAAAAAUUCACUUUUUCAUCAAAUGAGUUGAAUCGGUCAGAACAUGAGGUUUGAGUUUUCAUGAGGAGGAAACGAGAAAGAUCUGCUCUGACAGUUAGAAACACAGACGCCUGAAUCUACACUGACAGACAGACAAACACAGACAGAGAGACAGACACACAAACACAGACACACAGAGAUUUUCCUCUUUGUCUCUUUGCUGUGAUGACUGAAGUCACAAAAACAAAGUUGUAUUCGUCACUUUUAUGAUUGAACCAAAUAAGUUAAAGAACCAAACUCAUAGAUUUUCUUCUUCUCAAUAUUAUUUGAACCAUUUUGAUUUUUCUUCUGAUCAAUAUUCAAUGAUCAGAUUGAUCAGGUUCCUGUUUUGGCUCCACUGCCUCUUUUCUGCAGCUCAAUAACUGCUCAUAUGGUUUGAAAGGUUCCUGCAGUAAAACCCGAUUAGAGAGUGGACUAAAUGAAAUGUGAGUGAACUCAGCCAUCAGUGAAUCAAUGACAAAGUGAGAGUAAGAGUGGAUCUGUCUGCUGUCUGACCUUGUUGAGCCUGAUGAAGGUGAGGGAGAAGAGUAAAGCAGUAAAGGUGAUGUUGUUGCAGACAGAGUCAGCUGACCUGUCUCAUCAGAGUCUCAUCCAUUCUCUGUUUGGCAGAGCACUGAUGUUAGAGUCUGAGAGCACAUUCAGGUUCAGCUUCACAUGGGCUGGAUCUGCUCAAUACAAACUCUUGAGACCAGCCUGGUUGAGGGAGGUGGGCUCAGUGUCCUGGGUGACUCUCUCUGAGCUCUUCUUGGUUGAGAGUCUUUCUGGUUUGUCUCUGACUUCCAUGAACUCAGAUCUGGAGGAUUGCUGGCUGGUCCGGUCCAGUUCUGACAGUAGAGACAACACAGUCAGUUAUUCUGGGUUGAGUGUUCUUGUUGAAGAUCAGUGUACAGUGAGGGAUGAAGGCAGACAAAGAUCCUCCUGUUUCCUCCAUGUCACACUUCAAGUUCAUUUUGAAGACUUUGAUUGAUCCGAGCGCUGAAGAGGAACAGGAAACGUGGAGUAGAGAGUGAGGGAGGACUUACAGCAAAGGAUCAUGGGAGUCCAACCAGCAACUGCUGCAACAAGGACUCCACCUUCUGAACACCUGAACCUCUAAUCCAAACCAGUGCUCCAUCACAUUUGAUGUCUUGUCUGUUAUUUUACAUGGAGGGUCAGAGCAGACCAGAUAAUGAGCUCUGACAGACUGGAUCUGGUCCAAAGGUCUCCUGUUGGAGUUCUCUAAGCUCCAUAUUUUAAACCUGAACACGUGAAGUUUGAUUAUUAAUUAUUUUUAUCUUCAUUCUCUUUCCUUUUUUCAGACUGAGGAGCUGCAGUUUGUCAGAGAUCAGCUGUUCUUCUCUGGCCUCAGCUCUGAAGUCCAACCCCGACCAUCUGAAACAUCUGGACCUGAGCAGAAACAAUCUGCAGGAUUCAGGAGUGAAGCUGCUGUGUGACUCUCUGCAGAGUCCAAACUGUAAACUGGAGACUCUAGAGUGAGACUUUUUUCCUCCAUUCAAACAUGAUCAUGAUUUGUUUGUGAUGAUGACACUAAACUGCUGACUCAGGACUGAAACACUGACCCAGACUGAACACCUUCAGUCCAGAGUAGAUUUUCUGCUUCAGUGGAUUAUUUGAUUGACUCCAGUUAGAUCACUGCUGAGCUCCAGUGAAUUAAAACCUGAACCCAAGAAGAAAACUCUUUGUAGAGUUCACAGUGAGAAGCACAUUCAGACAGAAAACAGAAGCAGGGGGAGAUUUGUCAGACGAGAACCAUUCAAACUUUAGUUCAGGACAAGAAAUGGAAAAAACUCAGAGUUUAGUUUCUGACUCUGAUGAAAGUCCAGCUCUGUUACUUUGAAUUUUGUUUUUGAAUCUUUGUGUGAAAAUCUGAAUUUUCUGGUUUAUCUGCACUUUUCUGAAGCCUUGCUGUGUUUAGACUGAAAUAUUUACCUCUCAAAGACGUGAUAUUUUUGGUUCAGCAAAGUGAAAAUAUUCUGAACAUCCUUUGUUUCCCAUCCGUCCUGAAGUCGCUGACAUUUUCUGAAAAUAUUGAGCUGCAUCUACAAUCAGUAAAAAAGUCUCUGAGUUUUUUAUUUCACUAUUUAAUGUGUUUUUGAAUUCAGUGUUUCAAACUGACUUCCUGUUUGGUUCAGCUCUUUGGAGCGUCACUUUUCUUUGAUUCAUACUUUCCAAACCUUUCCCCUGAACUCUACAGAUUUAAGACAUCAGGUUUCAAACUGGAUCAUUUUUCUCUAAAAUCUCAUUAUUUCCUCUUUAUUUAGGUUGUGGCGCUGCAGUUUGACGAAGAUCAGCUGUUCUUCUCUGGCCUCAGCUCUGAAGUCCAACCCCUCCCAUCUGAAAACUCUGUGGCUGUAUGGAAACAAUCUGCAGGGUUCAGACGUGGAGCUGCUGUGUGAUCUUCAGAAGAGUCCAGACUACAGACUGGAGGAUCUGGAGUCAGUAUAGAGUUGGAGUUAGUCUGUGCUGAUCUCUCCUGUUCCUCUCCACACAGUAUCACAGCAGAUAUUCAGUAUUUCCUGCUGACUCUUCGACCCUCUCAGAGGAUUAUCUCUUUAGUGAAGCUGUGAGAACAGAAAUCAUCAAACCAGGAGUGUAAGAGUGUCAGUGAUGAAAAAAGUGUCUCCUCGUCUCUAUAUUUCAGAUCAAAUGUAGAAAUGAGACAUAAUGAAACAGAAAUGUUCAGUUUCUGCUCUGAAGUCCAGUUUAUAGUUCUCUGUAUUCAACACAGACUUUAUUUCUCUGCUAACUUGUUGAUUUUGAGCUCUAAGUCUGAAAACAGACAGCUGUUCUUUAUACUUGUUAUUUUCACAGCAGGUUUGUUCGAUCAGCUUUAACACAUUUGACAGGAAUGAUUUCUUUAUUUUGAUGAUGUUGGUUUAUUUGUGAGGAAACCUGCUGCUUUACACCAUCACUUCUGGUCUGAGCAGGACUGAGACCUGCUGGUCUGUAAACUGGAUGUUCUUCAGUCCAGCUGAUGAAGUGAGUCUCAGAGUGGAAACACUGAACGUCUUUUUUUCUCUCCUCAGAUGGAGUUAACAUCUGUCAGAGUGAAUAAGAAGAGGAUCGUGUGUUUCCUGACGAUCAGAGAGGUGGAGGCAGCAGCAGUGAGGGUGAGGUGAGUCUCUGACUGAGAGACUGACUGACCAAUCACAGCGGGCGGAGAGGACUCUGGGAGCUGCACUUUGACCUGCUCUGAGAUCAGCUCAGGACCUGGACUCUGGAUAUUUGAUAUUUUCCCUCAUACUCUGGGAUCAAACAGUCUGAACAGGUUUGUUUUGUUGAUGGAAACAUGAUCAUAAAUUUACACUUUGAUUGGAUUACUUUGUUUUCACCAUGAUGCAGCGCCACCCAGUGGAAAUAUAAAGAGGUGGAGUUGAUUUAUUCCCUCAUAUUUCUGCAGCAGGAGUUGAUACCAUGUGUGAGAGUAGAUCAGUCAGAAGUUCAGAUUAAACCCAAAGGUUUUUUCUUUCCUUUGCACCGUUAGAGACCGAAUAUAAACUGAAGGGAGAGGAAGAGAAGUGAGGAGAGAUGGAGGUGAAGGGAGGAGGAGGAGGACAGGGUUUGGGGUUUUAACAAAAAUCUGAAGCUUUAUUCUUUCACUUGAUUAUUUUUAUUCAUCCGUUUUCUUCUUCAUUUUCUGAACUGAUUGUAAAUAUUGACUGGAGGUAAAUUGACCUUAUUUUAUAUUAUUAGACAUUAUUUUCCGUCUCUUUACAUGUUUUUGUUCUCAUAUCAUCUUUGUGCUCAUCAAUAAUCGAUUCCCUCCAGUUUGAACAAAUACAAUUAUUAAACCAUAAAUGAGACCUGAGAGUAAAAUUAAAAUGUGUGAAAUAUAAUCAGUCAAAGGAAAGAUUCUUAAACAAAAACAAAAUCAUUAUUUUUACUUUAUUAUGAUGGAGAAGUUUUCCUCUGACAGACAAAAAUAACCAUAUUGACCGGAGUCUGGAAAAAGUGAGAUCAGCAUCUAUUCAGGGUGAAGUCAUUAAUGUGGUCGAUGCUGUUUUAUAAACUCAGUGUUGUUGAUUACAAUCUCAGCUUCAUAAACUGAUGCUACAGUGGAGUGACUUCCUGUAAAAUCCACUGGCUUUGUGAGACCGUCAGCUUUCAGGAGAUCAGUUUGUGUUUCUGUGACACUCCAAAGCUUUUCUAUCCCACAGAAAAGAUCGGUGUGUUUUCAGAGACCUUCCUGAUCCCAUCCCUCCAAAAUAAAAAUAAUCUGAUGGUUUAUGGAUUCAUUUCAGUAACAAAGUGUCAUUUCUGUUGUUAGCCAAUCAGAGGCUGUAUCUGCCAUCAGCUGACCUGUAAAGGUCCAAUCAGAAGUCAGGACAGCUCAUGCCACAGUCUGAUCACACUACAGACACAUAAAACAUAGAACUAUUGUAAACAGAUUUGUCCUCUUCAGUUUAUCUACUAUCAAUAGAUCUGUGCUCUGUCUGUGUAACACUCUGUUGGUUCUUCAUUUACACCAGAUCAUUUUUUAUUUCAUUUCACUGUAACAAUGCCAUUUAAAGAUAAUAAAAACUUUAUUUGAACCAAAACAUGUUAAAAACGUCAACUCGGCUCGUUUCAUUCACUGUGUGCAAUUGAUUAUUAUUAUUUUUCAUUCAAACAGAAACUAGAUUUGGUCUUUAAAAAGUCCUCAAAGUGAGUCUGAAAAGUAGAGGAAGGUUUUAUCAUCAGGGUGCAGCACAGUUGUUUCCUGUGUUUUCAUUUGUGAUAUUCUCUCUAAGGUGUGUUAUUGUUCAUUUAAAGUAUGUGGAGGACAAAUCCACACAUCUAACAAAGAAGGUAAAAUAUAAAGAUAGGAGAUUUCUGCAUGACAUCAACGAUAUCCUGGAUUUAGUUUUCUAAGCAACAGGUGGUCGUCUUUUAUCGGGGGUACUUUGAUCCAGAAAUCUGAAAAGGGGUUACUAAAGCAAAAGAAGAAAAACCAGAGACUGUAUAUAGAAUGGACAGAGUCUGCCUCCUCGCUGGGUGAAGCCACUCUGAGAACAGCACCCUCUGUUGAUGGGCUGCAGUAUAGGUCAUAAAUCCCGCCUGCGCCAGCAAAGCUUAUGGAGCUGUGGACGAACUUUAGAAAUUUAUUACACAGAACAUAAUUUUUUCUCCCUCCUGGUUGUGAUGUUGACAUGUAGUUAUUGUCAGACUGGUUUGUGCUCAAGUCCUCUUUUUUCUGUGAAGCUCCAUUUUUAAAAGUUAUUAGGGGGUUCAUGUUUGCUAUGACGUUUCACAGCCAUAAGGAAUAACCAAUCGGAGCCUAGCACUUCUAGCCAAUCAGAUGCGAAGGAGGGUGGGACCUUCCCCUACCAUCCCACGAAAAAAAAAACCAAACACGUCCGGGUUUGCCGACCUUUAUUUCUGAGCCCCAGAUAACAGGACAGAGAUACCUAAAGCAUACAACGUGAACUUGUGUUAUCACAUCAACAUAUUUGGCUCCUACACUGAAUAUAAUGUUGGACAGUGAUCUUUGUAAAGUGAGGUGAAGGAGGAGUUUGUGUAGUGACAACACAAUCACACUGUGUGCAAAAAUAAAAACCUGUUCAACCAAAUCUUCACAUUUAGUUGGGGUAUGAGAAGAGGAGUGCUCAUCUGAAGUUUGUUGGUUUGACCAGCAGGUGGAGCUGCUGCAUUAACAAUAAACUGAGACUCAACCAAACAAACAAGUUCCUGUUUUAGUGAACUUUGAAUUUGGACUCAGGAGAGGAAGAUGGUUGUCAAGAAUACUGAACUUAAAGGAUGAUCAAUAACGGUCAGUAAAUGAGGAGAAGAAUCUGUGAUCUGGUGGUUUAGGUUUCAGUGAAAACAGUCAGAGUGAAAGUGAAAGUAUGUGAGCUGAAAAACAGACUCCAUUUUGAGAAAAGAAGAGAGAGGAGAGGACGAGGAGACAGGGUGAGUGUUUACUCUGUUUUAGUUUUAAUGUCAAACUCUUUAUCUGUUUUAUCUGUUAAUGAAAAAAUGAUUUACUGACUAAAACACUUAAAAACUGUAAAACAAAGAAACCUGAGCAGACAAAGAGCUGGAUCAGUUCUUCAUACAGGAAACUGUGUACGUGCAGUUCUUCCUCCUCUUUGUUUAGACUUGUCUUUUUGGUAAAAAUAUUAAUCAGAAUCUUUUUAGCGUCUCAUUUCAACUUUAAUCCAGUCUCCUUAAGUUUUUAUGAGAGUUCAGGGACCUCACAGCUGAUUUUGUUUUGACCAUGAAUCAGACAAGGAUCAGAGAGAGGCCCUGCAGGGUGGGGAGACAUCAGAAGUUCUUGGAUAUUAAACCUGUAUAACUCUUAAAGAGGGGGAUGAAGCUGUUUUUAGACUCUGUACUUCCUUUCUGAUUCCUCUUUUAUUUCUGAACUCUCUCUUCCUGUUUGUAUCUCACCUGUUUGUCUUCUUUGUCCUCAGGUUGUAUAACUCGGUUUCAGCCUCCAUAAAUUUGCACAACAGAAGAUGGAGAAGAUGAGUGUUGGUGUCGAGGAAGAGGAGGGCAGAGCAGAGUCUGAUAUGUUUGACUGUCUGUCUAUGAAGAGUGACCAGUCUAAAGGUUUUGAUAUAAACUUCAGUAAAGAACCAGGACCCCCAGAGGAGGACAGAACAAAGUCUGUUAUCUCCAGCUGUCUGUCUAUGAAGAGUGACCGGUCUAAAGAUCCUCCACCAAAAUUCAGUGAAGAACCAGGACCCUCAGAUUCACAGUAAGAGAAACACUUUUCAAUCACCAAACUCUCAAACAACAACAAUUGACGUUUCAAAUACAAAACUUUAAAUCCUGACCCCUCUGUUUUCUCCUCUGUUCUCAAAACACUGAUUUUCCUCUUAAACCUGCCAACCUGGAUAAAAUUCAAUUCAAUUCAACUUUAUUUAUAAAGCCCAUUUCAUGUACAAGGCAGACUCAAUGUUCUUCACAACAGGUGUACAUAGUUAAAAACAGUUAUACAAAAAUCAAUUAGAAAUCAAUGUAAGAGUGUAAGUGCAAGUCAACUUCACUGCAUGCACACUUAAACUCGUACAUGCGCACGCACUCACACAUGGACACGUGCACACGUACACACAUACACACACAGUUUAAAAGAAUGCUAUAGAAAUCUGUUUUUAAAGAUGGCUACUGAUGUGUCUAACUGUGUCAGGCAUGGUGUUCCAUUUUUGUGGGGCAUAAACACUCAAAGCUGCCUCCCCUCAUUUGGAUCUGGUGUGAGGGAUGAGUAAGUUGCCACUGCCUGUUGACCGAAGUGUUCUUGCUGAGGUGUAGGUGAUGAGCAUAUCUGUGAUGUACUGAGGUGCAAGGCCAUGUAGUGCUUUGUAAACCAGGAGGAGUAUUUUGAAAUCGAUUCUUGUCCUAACGGGUAACCAAUGUACAGAUUUGAGAACGGGUGUGAUGUGUUGAUAUUUUUUGGUACCAGUGAGAAUACAUGCAGCUGCAUUUUGAAUUAACUGUAACCUCUGAAGACUUGAUUUUGGGAGUCCAGUGAAUAAACCGUUAUCCAGUAGUAAUCCAGUCUACUUCUUAUAAAUGCAUGGAUGAAUUUUUCUAAGUCUGAUUUUGACAGAAAGCCCCUCAAUUUGGAGAUAUUUUUGAGAUGAUAGAAAGAUGAUCUUGAAUUGAAUCUUGUAAUGGAUAAAAGGCUGGUAAAGAAAAACUCACUGAGCACAGAUUUACUUAUUAUUGUUGAUGUUUAUAAAAAUGAAAGUCGUUUAAAACAGCAUUUGAAAAGGAUUCUGACUUCUUGUAUUUUCUGAUUUGGUUCCUGUGUUUGGGACGUUUUGAGCCUGUUAGUCUUUGGACUGUGGUCUGUAGACCCCAGAAAACAGUCUGUGGGUCACAAAAUACCAGAAGACCAAUGAAGAAAUAAAUCCUGAGAAAUAAAAACUCAUUCAGAGCAUCUGUCUGUUAUUAGACCUUUAGAUCUGAUCGGUGGAAAAAAAAGUUUUAAACUGUCAGAGAAAAUCUCUCUACCUUCAAAAUCACUUUAGUUUUUUCUCUUGUCACGACACUUCAGGCAGCAGCAGCUGAAUAUUUUACAGGAGAUUGUUUUAUGUUAGAGAAAAGAGAAACUCUGGUUUAAUAAAUGUUUCUUAUUCUGUAUCUUUCAAACAUGAAAUAAUAAAGAAAAUAAAUGUUCUUUAUUUCCACAGAGAGACACAGAGAUGUGACUCUGUGGAGGAGCAGCUGUCCAGAUGUUCUUUAUGUCAGGACGUCCUGAAGGAUCCAGUCUCUACCCGCUGUGGACACCAGUCUACUUCUUCAGGAUACACCUCCUGUCCCCAGUGUGGAAAAAGAACCAGAACAGUUCUUGUCUUUCAGACAGACAGCCAGUCCAGCUCUGAUCGAAGUAAGUCUGAACACCUUUAAACCCUAAAUUAUACAAUUUCUGCCAGAAUUAUUUUGCUUAUUUUAGCCAUAAAAUUGGCAGAAAAUGUCCUAUGAGUGAGUGCUUUUUUAUUCAUUGGCUUUCAACCCUGCAUGAGACUCGGCUCCUGUUUUAGUGUUUUAUGUUUUUUUUUUUUUUUUUUUUUUAUGUCUAUGCUUUUUUGUCUAUUUAUAUACAGCACUUUGGUUGGCUGUGGUUGUUUUAAAGUGCUUUACAAAUAAAGUUGAGUUUUACCCAUUUUUCCAGAACACUUCAAACUUUCAAUAUCUGGCUGUCAUUUACGAUUUACUGCCUGUUAAAAGAGUGCUAUAACAUUUUAAGAUAAAGAAAAACACAAAAACGGAAUACGAUUUUUUGAGUUUUAAUGAGAAAAAACAGAAAAUAUUCAUGAAAAACAGAUUUUUCAUUUGAAAUAAAAAAAAAUUAAAGAGUAUCAAACAUAUUUACAACAAAAACUUUGGAGUGCUGUCUCUCCAAGUGCAAAAACAGGCUAAAUAAAUACAACUAUGUCCACGCGUUUCUCCUCGUUUCUCCUCUCUCACUCAGAGGUCUUUGUGAAACUGUCAGAAGCUGUUCCUUUCUGUCUGCGGACACAGACCCACAUCACACCACUCACACUUCCAGGCAGUUCUCCUUAUGACAAAGUUUGCAGCGUCGUCUCCUCAUGCUAGUUCUUUGAGACUUCAUCUGUCCAUGGCUUGUUUGGGCACGUAGCUAUACUCUACUAUAAGCGAAGUGGAUGUAAUUCUCGGCGGGCAUGUGUUUCUCGGUACAACAUCAACGGUUGCAAAAUGAGAAAACGACGAGAAAACCGCCGAAGAUGAAGACUUGGUGGUAAGAAGAAAAGCAACGUCACUAACCUUUGAAGAUGAAGACUCGUUGAUUAAAAGAACGUCACUAACCAUAGAAGAUGAAGACUCGUUGAUUAAAAGAAAAGCAACGUCACUAACCAUUGUAGAUGAAUAUUCGUUGAUUAAAAGAAAAGCCACGUCACUUAUCUGUAAUUAUUUCGGUUACAAAAAGGAUGACGUCACCUAACACCUGUUCUGUGACGGCAGUGUCUUUCAUCUGUUUCCACAAUAACGUCCCAGCAGAACAAUAAAAACUAAAAAUAUCUCUAAGACAGACAGAAGCCAUUCUACUAACAUUCACUAAAAGAGGGAAGAUCAGUGCAGGUUAACUGUCCUCAAGAUUUCAGCAGAAAGUCAGAUUCAGAUCAUCUGCUAAAAAUUCCUCUAUUUUUUAAUAACGCUUAUAUAUCACAGGGUUGAACAACUUUGCAAUGUUAGUGUUUUCUAAUAUCAUGCUGUCUUAAUAGGCACACGUUACUACAAACUCACUGCCUUAGCAUGGUAUUCUAAUAAAGUCACAACAGGUUAUAAGUGUUGAUUUACUCAUAAAAUAACGUAAAUAAAUUAAAAACGACACAGAGAGCGCUUCAUUCAUCCAGAAACCAACACAGAAAACCAACCAGUCAAACUUUACCUUUCUCUGUCUGAAGUUGCUCUGAAAGCUUCUCCAUCUGUCCCAAAGUCGUCUGUAAACCUCAGUGGAGGUUUUCUCACUUGGGAGAGUUUAUCACAGACAUUUUCCUUUGAAAUAAUCCCUUUUUUGUCACUUUUCUCUCUUUUUGCUCCGUUUCUCUGCUCUGUUGUGUGUCUAUCCGCUGCUCCCUUUGAGAGGGGGAGAGGGGACGAGGAGACAGAUUUUCUCACUUCCCCAAACAGCAGGAGUGAAAUUACCGUAAUAACCGUUUAUUGACCGUGUGGCGCAACUUCUCAGCUUUCAGAAACCGUUGGAGAUUUUUUUUUGAUAGAACAAACUACCGCAAAGUUACGGUAAUUUAAAGAGCGCCUGUAUAAAGGUGUCGGCGCCGACGGACUGUGAGGAAAAGUCUGUGUGGAUGAAAACUCAGCUGACUGAUUUUCACAAAGACGUUUCAGUGUUGAGAAGUUUGGUUCAUUUUAUUUUUCUUCUCUUUCAGAUGAUGGCCUCCCGCAGGAGGUUUUAGAUGAACAUAAGAUCAGUCUGAAGAGGAGAUGUGAACGUGUGAAUGAAGGAAGUGAUGAAACAGGAAGUAGUCAAACCCUCCUCAACAGGAUCUUCACUGAGCUCUACAUCACAGAGGGACUGAGUGAAGAGGUGAACACCCAACAUGAGGUGAGACAGCUGGAGACUACUUCAAAGAUGAAGACCCUCCAUGACAUGCCCAUCAGGUGUCAUGAGAUCUUUAAAACCUUACCUGACCAACAGAAGAAGCUCAUCAGAGUGGUUCUGACCAACGGCGUGGCUGGUGUUGGAAAAACCUUCUCAGUGCAGAAGUUCACUCUGGACUGGGCAGAGGGUUUGGAGAACCAAGACCUCCAUCUGGUGGUCCUGCUUUCAUUCAGGGAGCUGAACCUGAUCAGAGAUGAGCGCUUCAGUCUUCUGAGUCUGCUCCAUGUUUUCCAUCCAACCCUAGAGAAGGUCACAGCAGAGACGCUGGCUGUCUGUAAACUUCUGUUCAUCUUUGACGGUCUGGAUGAAAGCAGACUGUCUCUGGAUUUCACAGACUCUGAGGUGGUGUCUGACGUCACACAGAAGUCUUCACUCAACGUUCUGAUAACAAACCUCGUCAAGGGGAACCUGCUCCCCUCAGCUCUCAUCUGGAUAACUUCUCGACCUGCAGCAGCCAAUCAGAUCCCUCCUUCACAUGUGGACAGGAUAACAGAAGUACGAGGCUUCACUGACGCCCAGAAGGAGGAGUACUUCAGGAAGAGGUUCAGAGAUGAAGAUCUGUCCAGAAGAAUCAUCCAACACAUCAAGUCCUCCAGGAGCCUCCACAUCAUGUGUCAGAUCCCGGUCUUCUGCUGGAUCACUGCGACAGUUCUGGAGGACAUGAUGAGAAGAAAGCAGAGAGGAGAGCUGCCCAAGACCCUGACUGACAUGUACUCACACUUCCUGCUGGUCCAGACUCAGAGGAAGAAGCAGAAGUAUGAAGGAGGACAUGAGACAAGUCCUCAGGAGCUGAUGGAUGCUGACAGUGACGUCCUCCUGAAGCUGGGGAGGCUGGCAUUGGAACAUCUGAACAGUGGAAACAUCAUGUUCUACCAAGAAGACCUGGAGCGGUGUGGUCUGGAUGUCUCAGAGGCCUCAGUGUACUCAGGAGUUUGUACAGAGAUCUUCAGAAGAGAGAGUGUGAUCUUCCAGAAAACUGUUUACUGUUUCGUUCAUCUGAGCGUUCAGGAGUUUCUGUCUGCAGUCUACAUGAUCCACAGUUUCACAACCAGGAACACAGAAGCUCUGAAGACUUUCCUAAGAAGCAACGAUGAUGAAGAUAAAAUGUCUUCUUCAGAGAUGGUUGACAGAUUUUUUCAAAACCUGGAUUAUUUUUUCUCAUCUCAGGAUGUCUUCCUGAAGAGUGUCAUGAUGAAAUCCCUUGUCAGUAAAAACGGUCACCUGGACCUGUUUGUUCGCUUCCUUCAUGGACUCUCUGUGGCGUCAAACCAGAGACUCUUAGGAGGUCUGCUGGGUCACACAGACAACAGUCCAGAAAUGAUCCAAACAGUCAUCAAGAACCUGAAGGAGAUGAACAGAGAAGAUAUCUCUCCUGACAGAAGCAUCAACAUCUUCCACUGUCUGAUGGAGAUGAACGAUCUGUCAGUUCAUCAGGAGAUUCAAGAGCUCCUGAAGUCAGGGAACAAAUCAGAGAAGAAACUCUCAGUGUUCCAGUGCUCUGCUCUGGCCUACAUGCUGCAGAUGUCAGAGGAGGUUCUGGAGGAGUUGGACUUAAAGAAUUAUAAAACAUCAGACCAGGGACGACGGAGACUGAUCCCAGCUGUGAGGAACUGCAGAAAGGCUGUGUGAGUCCAGGUUUUAUUCUCAGAAUAGUGUAAAUGAUCCCUGUAGUUCUUCUAAUGUCCACGUUACUGAUGAUGUUCUUCUUCAAAUAGAAAUCCACUCAAAUAUCAGGGAGGGGGUUUCUUCAGCAAAAACAUGAUCCUGGUGUCUAAAGUCCUGUUAGUCCAGGAUGAGGUCUACCCGUGGACCCCUGAGAACUUGUCCUAAUUGUGGAGGACCUCUUUGUUUUGAAUCGUGUCUGUAAUGAAUAAAGUGGAACUUUGAGGACAAAUCAGCGACCAUAUCUGAGGACACACAGAGGUCUUCUGAUGAUGGUAUCAGUCCAGAUCAACAUCUCAGUCAGUUGUGGUGAACUUGAGUUUGAAGAAGGUGUCUGCAGCUUCUUCCUGCUGGUUUUCAGGUUGGAAAUGAUGAAUCAGUUGUAAAUGAGGGUGUUGACAGCAUUGAUGGUGAAAAUAGAACUGGAUCAUUUUCUACACAGUGGCAGAACUGUCUUCAAAGAAAUGUUUUUAUCUGAACCAAACAGAGAAACAGGAGCUGCUGUGAUUUAGUGAGUCGUCUUCUGAUUGGUCAACAGUCAGUGCCUUACAUUAUAGCAGGAUGUCAACACUAAACACUGAGAGGAGCAUAAGUCAUGGAGUCAUUUGUCUUGAACAUCUAAACAGUUUUUUUUUUCUUCUAAACUUGGACUUCCUGUCUUCUCUCAUGGCUGUGGUCCUGAUAUUAGUAUCUGUCUGGUUAGAAACAGGCCGUCUGUCAAACCAAAGAUCAUGUUUGAGUUGUUUUUGGGGAAGAGAAACAUCAAAUAACCCUUUAAUAAAAUAUUGUUUGAUAUUUAUGUUGUUACAGAUUUUCUCUCUGUGGACUCUCAAAGACUCACUGUGAAGUUGUGGCCUCAGCUCUGAAGUCCAACCCCUCCCAUCUGAGACAUCUGGACCUGAGUAACAACGAGCUGAAGGAUUCAGGAGUGAAGCUUCUCUCUGCAGGACUGGAGAGUCCAAACUGCAGACUGGAGACUCUGAUGUGAGACACCAUUUCCUUCUGAUCUAACAAUAAGAUGUGACAGCUGCUGCCUUAGAUUUUUCUCUGUGGUUUUUCCAUCAACUUUGGUCGAGCAGUUUGAAUUUGUCGUUGUAAAACUUCGACACAGGAAGAAAAAUCUGACAUUUCAGAGUUGACUUUGAGGAGAACGAUGGAUGUAGAAAGGAAGCAGGAGAAAAUCAGUCCCACAAAUAUUACACAUGCUUGUAGAGGGCAGGAGCAGCACAGACUAAAGGCUGAUACUGAACUGAUCCACAGUUAAUGUGAUCACCAAUGAAUGAAUGAAGUGUCAGAGAAAUGAUGAGCUGCAGAUUGAAACCUGAAGAACAAAGUUAAUCCAACUCUGGAUAUUUCAUUUGGAAACUCUUGAAAACUUGAAUUUCUUCUUUGCUCAGUCGUGUUCAAAUGUAAAAACCAGAUCCAGAUUUGUCUGCAGUUUUCACUUCAGUUUGUUGAACAUGAACAUCAUCUUGUCCAGCUGGUCCAUAAAAACCUCUCUGAUCAAUGAUCUGUUGGUUUAUUUAAGAGUAGUUUGGCAGUUGUUGACAGCAGACGGACAGACCCCUGAAUAAACUCCUGACUGUUUUCAUCUUCAUGAAGAAUUCAGGACUACAAAAGAACCUUUGAGAUUUCUCACAGGAGUUUCUCAGGAUCUCACUAAAGUUUUCUGUUUCUGUAAAAUUUUCUUGACUGAUAAAUUCCUCUGGAUCUUCAAAAAGUUUAGAGAAGAUUUUACAAAGUUCCUGAAGAUCAACUCUGAAAAAGUUCUUCUUCCGUGUCCUUCAGGGUUCAAGAACAUUGAAUCAUUAAAAACAGGAACAGUUUCUUCAGAGGUUACAUGAUUUUUUUCUUUUUUCAGACUGUGACAGGUGUUUAUUAGUCUUUUUGACACGUUACAAUAAUGAGGAUAAAGUCAUGGACUAAACUUGGGCUCCCAGUUUCCUUGUUGUUGUUUCUUCAGCUAGCAUCAUUGUUUUCAUCACAGUUCUUAAAGUAAUAAUGAUGCUUCAUAAAUUCAGAGUCACAAAAAAACACCAAACAAACCAAAUCUGAAAAAAAUCCACUUUUUCAUCAAAUGAGUUUAAUCGGUCAGAACAUGAGGUUUGAGUUUUCAUGAGGAGGAAACGAGAAAGAUCUGCUCUGACAGUGAGAAACACAGACGCCUGAAUCUACACUGACAGACACACAAAUACAGACAGAGAGACACAGACAGAGAGACACAGACACAGACACACAAAUACAGACACACAGAGACACAGACACACAAACAGACUAACAGAGAUUUUCUUCUUCGUCUCUUUGCUGUGAUGACUGAAGUCACAAAAACAAAGUUUUCUUCGUCACUUUUAUGAUUGAACCAAAUAAGUUAAAGAACCAAACUCUCAGAUUUUCUUCUUCUCAAUAUUAUUUGAACCAUUUAGAUUUUUCUCCUGAUCAAUAUUCAAUGAUCAGAUUGAUCAGGUUCCUGUUUUGGCUCCACUGCCUCUUUUCUGCAGCUCAAUAACUGCUCAUAUGGUUUGAAAGGUUCCUGCAGUAAAACCCGAUUAGAGAGUGGACUAAAUGAAAUGUGAGUGAACUCAGCCAUCAGUGAAUCAAUGACAAAGUGAGAGGAAGAGUGGAUCUGUCUGCUGUCUGACCUUGUUGAUCCUGAUGAAGGUGAGGGAGAAGAGUAAAGCAGUAAAGGUGAUGUUGUUGCAGACAGAGUCAGCUGACCUGUCUCAUCAGAGUCUCAUCCAUUCUCUGUUUGGCAGAGCGCUGAUGUUACAGUCUGAGAGCACAUUCAGGUUCAGCUUCACAUGGGCUGGAUCUGCUCAAUACAAACUCUUGAGACCAGCCUGGUUGAGGGAGGUGGGCUCAGUGUCCUGGGUGACUCUCUCUGAGCUCUUCUUGGUUGAGAGUAUUUCUGGUUUGUCUCUGACUUCCAUGAACUCAGAUCUGGAGGAUUGCUGGCUGGUCCGGUCCAGUUCUGACAGUAGAGACAACACAGUCUGUUAUUCUGGGUUGAGUGUUCUUGUUGAAGAUCAGUGUACAGUGAGGGAUGAAGGCAGACAAAGAUCCUCCUGUUUCCUCCAUGUCACAGUUCAAGUUCAUUUUGAAGACUUUGAUUGAUACGAGCGCUGAAGAGGAACAGGAAACGUGGAGUAGAGAGUGAGGGAGGACUUACAGCAAAGGAUCAUGGGAGUCCAACCAGCAACUGCUGCAACAAGGACUCCACCUUCUGAUCAUCUGAACCUCUAAUCCAAACCAGUGCUCCAUCACAUUUGAUGUCUUGUCUGUUAUUUUACAUGGAGGGUCAGAGCAGACCAGAUCAUGAGCUCUGACAGACUGGAUCUGGUCCAAAGGUCUCCUGUUGGAGUUCUCUAAGCUCCAUAUUUUAAUCCUGAACACCUGAAGUUUGAUUAUUAAUUAUUUUUAUCUUCAUUCUCUUUCCUUUUUUCAGAUUGUAUAAAUGCAGUUUGUCAGAGAUCAGCUGUUCUUCUCUGGCCUCAGCUCUGAAGUCCAACCCCUCCCAUCUGAGAUAUCUGGACCUGAGUUACAACAAUCUGCAGGAUUCAGGAAUGAAGCUGCUGUGUGACUCUCUGCAGAGUCCAAACUGUAAACUGGAGACUCUGAGGUGAGACACCAUUUCCUUCUGAUCUAACAAUAAGAUGUGACAGCUGCUGCCUUAGAUUUUUCUCUGUGGUUUUUCCAUCAACUUUGGUCGAGCAGUUUGAAUUUGUCGUUGUAAAACUUCAACACAGGAAGAAAAAUCCGACAUUUCAGAGUCGACUUUGAGGAGAACGAUGGAUGUAGAAAGGAAGCAGGAGAAAAUCAGUCCACAAAUAUUACACAUGCUUGUAGAGGGCAGGAGCAGCACAGACUAAAGGCUGAUACUGAACUGAUCCACAGUUAAUGUGAUCACUAAUGAAUGAAUGAAGUGUCAGAGAAAUGAUGAGCUGCAGAUUGAAACCUGAAGAACAAAGUUAAUCCAACUCUGGAUAUUUCAUUUGGAAACUCUUGAAAACUUGAAUUUCUUCUUUGCUCAGUCGUGUUCAAAUGUAAAAACCAGAUCCAGAUUUUUCUGCAGUUUUCACUUCAGUUUGUUGAACAUGAACAUCAUCUUGUCCAGUUGGUCCAUAAAAACCUCUCUGAUCAAUGAUCUGUUGGUUUAUUUAAGAGUAGUUUGGCAGUUGUUGACAGCAGACGGACAGACCCCCUGAAUAAACUCCUGACUAUUUUCAUCUUCAUGAAGAAUUCAGGACUACAAAAAAACCUUUGAGAUUUCUCACAGGAGUUUCUCAGGAUCUCACUAAAGUUUUCUGUUUCUGUAAAAUUUUCUUGACUGAUAAAUUCCUCUGGAUCUUCAAAAAGUUUAGAGAGGAUUUUACAAAGUUCCUGAAGAUCAACUCUGAAAAAGUUCUUCUUCCGUGUUCCUUCAGGGUUCAAGAACAUUGAAUCAUUAAAAACAGGAACAGUUUCUUCAGAGGUUACAUGAUUUUUUUCUUUUUUCAGACUGUGACAGGUGUUUAUUAGUCUUUUUGACACGUUACAAUAAUGAGGAUAAAGUCAUGGACUAAACUUGGGCUCCCAGUUUCCUUGUUGUUGUUUCUUCAGCUAGCAUCAUUGUUUUCAUCUCAGUUAUUAAAGUAAUAAUGAUGCUUCAUAAAUUCAGAGUCACAAAAAAACACCAAACAAACCAAAUCUGAAAAAAAUCCACUUUUUCAUCAAAUGAGUUUAAUCGGUCAGAACAUGAGGUUUGAGUUUUCAUGAGGAGGAAACGAGAAAGAUCUGCUCUGACAGUGAGAAACACAGACGCCUGAAUCUACACUGACAGACACACAAAUACAGACAGAGAGACACAGACAGAGAGACACAGACACAGACACAGACACACAAAUACAGACACACAGAGAGACAGACACACAAACACAGACUAACAGAGAUGUUCCUCUCUGUCUCUUUGCUGUGAUGACUGAAGUCACAAAAACAAAGUUUUCUUCGUCACGUUUAUGAUUGAACCAAAUAAGUUAAAGAACCAAACUCUCAGAUUUUCUUCUUCUCAAUAUUAUUUGAACCAUUUUGAUUUUUCUCCUGAUCAAUAUUCAAUGAUCAGAUUGAUUAGGUUCCUGUUUUGGCUCCACUGCCUCUUUUCUGCAGCUCAAUAACUGCUCAUAUGGUUUGAAAGGUUCCUGCAGUAAAACCCGAUUAGAGAGUGGACUAAAUGAAAUGUGAGUGAACUCAGCCAUCAGUGAAUCAAUGACAAAGUGAGAGGAAGAGUGGAUCUGUCUGCUGUCUGACCUUGUUGAGCCUGAUGAAGGUGAGGGAGAAGAGUAAAGCAGUAAAGGUGAUGUUGUUGCAGACAGAGUCAGCUGACCUGUCUCAUCAGAGUCUCAUCCAUUCUCUGUUUGGCAGAGCACUGAUGUUACAGUCUGAGAGCACAUUCAGGUUCAGCUUCACAUGGGCUGGAUCUGCUCAAUACAAACUCUUGAGACCAGCCUGGUUGAGGGAGGUGGGCUCAGUGUCCUGGGUGACUCUCUCUGAGCUCUUCUUGGUUGAGAGUAUUUCUGGUUUGUCUCUGACUUCCAUGAACUCAGAUCUGGAGGAUUGCUGGCUGGUCCGGUCCAGUUCUGACAGUAGAGACAACACAGUCAGUUAUUCUGGGUUGAGUGUUCUUGUUGAAGAUCAGUGUACAGUGAGGGAUGAAGGCAGACAAAGAUCCUCCUGUUUCCUCCAUGUCACAGUUCAAGUUCAUUUUGAAGACUUUGAUUGAUCCGAGCGCUGAAGAGGAACAGGAAACGUGGAGUAGAGAGUGAGGGAGGACUUACAGCAAAGGAUCAUGGGAGUCCAACCAGCAACUGCUGCAACAACGACUCCACCUUCUGAUCAUCUGAACCUCUAAUCCAAACCAGUGCUCCAUCACAUUUGAUGUCUUGUCUGUUAUUUUACAUGGAGGGUCAGAGCAGACCAGAUCAUGAGCUCUGACAGACUGGAUCUGGUCCAAAGGUCUCCUGUUGGAGUUCUCUAAGCUCCAUAUUUUAAACCUGAACACCUGAAGUUUGAUUAUUAAUUAUUUUUAUCUUCAUUCUCUUUCCUUUUUUCAGAUUGUAUAAAUGCAGUUUGUCAGAGAUCAGCUGUUCUUCUCUGGCCUCAGCUCUGAAGUCCAACCCCUCCCAUCUGAAACAUCUGGACCUGAGUUACAACAAGCUGCAGGAUUCAGGAGUGAAGCUUCUGUGUGAAUUUGUGCAGAGUCCAAACUGUAAACUGGAGACUCUGAAGUGAGACUUUUUCCCUCCAUUCAAACAUGAUCAUGAUUUGUUUGUGAUGAUGACACUAAACUGCUGACUCAGGACUGAAAUACUGACCCAGACUGAACACCUUCAGUCCAGAGUAGAUUUUCUUCAUCAGUGGAUUAUUUGAUUGACUCCAGUUAGAUCACUGCUGAGCUCCAGUGAAUUAAAACCUGAACCCAAGAAGAAAACUCUUUGUAGAGUUCACAGUGAGAAGCUCAUUCAGACAGAAAACAGAAGCAGGGGGAGAUUUGUCAGAUGAGAACCAUUCAAACUUUUGUUCAGGACAAGAUCAGGGAAUAGAAAAAACUCAGAGUUUAGUUUCUGACACUGAUGAAAGUCCAGCUCUGUUACUUUGAAUUUUGUUUUUGAAUCUUUGUGUGAAAAUCUGAAUUUUCUGGUUUAUCUGCACUUUUCUGAAGCCUUACUGUGUUUAGACUGAAAUAUUUACCUCUCAAAGACGUGAAAUUUUUGGUUCAGCAAAGUGAAAAUAUUCUGAACAUCCUUUGUUUCCCAUCCGUCCUGAAGUCACUGACAUUUUCUGAAAAUAUUGAGCUGCAUCUACAAUCAGUAAAAAAGUCUCUGAGUUUUUUAUUUCACUAUUUAAUGUGUUUUUGAAUUCACUGUUUCAAACUGACUUCCUGUUUGGUUCAGCUCUUUGGAGCGUCACUUUUCUCUGAUUUAUACUUUCCAAACCUUUCCCCUGAACUCUACAGAUUUAAGACAUCAGGUUUCAAACUGGAUCAUUUUUCUCUAAAAUCUCAUUAUUUCCUCUUUAUUUAGGUUAAUGAGCUGCAGUUUGACGAAGAUCAGCUGUUCUUCUCUGGCCUCAGCUCUGAAGUCCAACCCCUCCCAUCUGAAAACUCUGUGGCUGUAUGGAAACAAUCUGCAGGGUUCAGACAUGAAGCUGCUGUGUGAUCUUCAGAAGAGUCCUGACUACAGACUGAGGACUCUGAAGUCAGUAUAGAGUUGGAGUUAGUCUGUGCUGAUCUCUCCUGUUCCUCUCCACACAGUAUCACAGCAGAUAUUCAGUAUUUCCUGCUGACUCUUCGACCCUCUCAGAGGAUUAUCUCUUUAGUGAAGCUGUGAGAACAGAAAUCAUCAAACCAGGAGUGUAAGAGUGUCAGUGAUGAAAAAAGUGUCUCCUCGUCUCUAUAUUUCAGAUCAAAUGUAGAAAUGAGACAUAAUGAAACAGAAAUGUUCAGUUUCUGCUCUGAAGUCCAGUUUAUAGUUCUCUGUAUUCAACACAGACUUUAUUUCUCUGCUAACUUGUUGAUUUUGAGCUCUAAGUCUGAAAACAGACAGCUGUUCUUUAUACUUGUUAUUUUCACAGCAGGUUUGUUCGAUCAGCUUUAACACAUUUGACAGGAAUGAUUUCUUUAUUUUGAUGAUGUUGGUUUAUUUGUGAGGAAACCUGCUGCUUUACACCAUCACUUCUGGUCUGAGCAGGACUGAGACCUGCUGGUCUGUAAACUGGAUGUUCUUCAGUCCAGCUGAUGAAGUGAGUCUCAGAGUGGAAACACUGAUCGUCUUUUUUUCUCUCCUCAGAUGGAGUUAACAUCUGUCAGAGUGAUUAAGAAGAGGAUCAUGUGUUUCCUGACGAUCAGAGAGGUGGAGGCAGCAGCAGUGAGGGUGAGGUGAGUCUCUGACUGAGAGACUGACUGACCAAUCACAGCGGGCGGAGAGGACUCUGGGAGCUGCACUUUGACCUGCUCUGAGAUCAGCUCAGGACCUGGACUCUGGAUAUUUGAUAUUUUCCCUCAUAUUCUGGGAUCAAACAGUCUGAACAGGUUUGUUUUGUUGAUGGAAACAUGAUCAUAAAUUUACACUUUGAUUGGAUUACUUUGUUUUCACCAUGAUGCAGCGCCACCCAGUGGAAAUAUAAAGAGGUGGAGUUGAUUUAUUCCCUCAUAUUUCUGCAGCAGGAGUUGAUACCAUGUGUGAGAGUAGAUCAGUCAGAAGUUCAGAUUAAACCCAAAGGUUUUUUCUUUCCUUUGCACCGUUACAGACCGAAUAUAAACUGAAGGGAGAGGAAGAGAAGUGAGGAGAGAUGGAGGUGAAGGGAGGAGGAGGACAGGGUUUGGGGUUUUAACAAAAAUCUGAAGCUUUAUUCUUUCACUUGAUUAUUUUUAUUCAUCCGUUUUCUUCUUCAUUUUCUGAAAUGAUUGUAAAUAUUGACUGGAGGUAAAUUUGUCUUAUUUAAUAUUAUUAGACACUAUUUUCCGUCUCUUUACAUGUUUUUGUUCUCAUAUCAUCUUUGUGCUCAUCAAUAAUCGAUUCCCUCCAGUUUGAACAAAUACAAUUAUUAAACCAUAAAUGAGACCUGAGAGUAAAAUUAAAAUGUGUGAAAUAUAAUCAGUCAAAAGAAAGAUUCUUGAACAAAAACAAAAUCAUUAUUUUUACUUUAUUAUGAUGGAGAAGUUUUCCUCUGACAGACAAAAAUAACCGUAUUGACUGGAGUCUGGAAAAAGUGAGAUCAGCAUCUAUUCAGGGUGAAGUCAUUAACGUGGUCGAUGCUGUUUUAUAAACUCAGUGUUGUUGAUUACAAUCUCAGCUUCAUAAACUGAUGCUACAGCUCAUGUCACAGUCUGCUCACACCACAGAAACAUUAAACAUAGAACUAUUGUGAACAGAUUUGUCCUCUUCAGCUAAUCUACUAUCAAUAGAUCUGUGCUCUGUCUGUGUAACACUAUGUUGGUUCUUCAUUUACUCCAGAUCAUUUUUUUAUGUCAUUUCACUGUAACAAUGUCAUUUAAAGAUAAUAAAAACUUUAUUUGAACUAAAACAUGUUAAAAACAUCAACUCAGCUUGUUUCAUUUACUGUGUGCAAUUGAUUAUUAUUAUUUUUCAUUCAAACAGAAACUAGAUUUGGUCUUUAAAAAGUCCUCAAAGUGAG